AUUGAACGCUGGCGGCAGGCCUAACACAUGCAAGUCGAGCGGAUGAAGGGAGCUUGCUCCUGGAUUCAGCGGUGGACGGGUGAGUAAUGCCUAGGAAUCUGCCUGGUAGUGGGGGAUAACGUCCGGAAACGGGCGCUAAUACCGCAUACGUCCUGAGGGAGAAAGUGGGGGAUCUUCGGACCUCACGCUAUCAGAUGAGCCUAGGUCGGAUUAGCUAGUUGGUGGGGUAAAGGCCUACCAAGGCGACGAUCCGUAACUGGUCUGAGAGGAUGAUCAGUCACACUAGAACUGAGACACGGUCCAGACUCCUACGGGAGGCAGCAGUGGGGAAUAUUGGACAAUGGGCGAAAGCCUGAUCCAGCCAUGCCGCGUGUGUGAAGAAGGUCUUCGGAUUGUAAAGCACUUUAAGUUGGGAGGAAGGGCAGUAAGUUAAUACCUUGCUGUUUUGACGUUACCAACAGAAUAAGCACCGGCUAACUUCGUG
rnacentral:rRNA from 1 species